rnacentral:rRNA from 1 species
GCGCACGCUGGCGGCAUGCCUAACACAUGCAAGUCGAACGAGACCUUCGGGUCUAGUGGCGCACGGGUGCGUAACGCGUGGGAACCUGCCCUUAGGUUCGGAAUAACUCCCCGAAAGGGGUGCUAAUACCGGAUAAUGUCUUCGGACCAAAGAUUUAUCGCCUUUGGAUGGGCCCGCGUUGGAUUAGCUAGUUGGUAGGGUAAAAGCCUACCAAGGCGACGAUCCAUAGCUGGUCUGAGAGGAUGAUCAGCCACACUGGGACUGAGACACGGCCCAGACUCCUACGGGAGGCAGCAGUGGGGAAUAUUGGACAAUGGGCGAAAGCCUGAUCCAGCAAUGCCGCGUGAGUGAUGAAGGCCUUAGGGUUGUAAAGCUCUUUUACCCGGGAUGAUAAUGACAGUACCGGGAGAAUAAGCUCCGGCUAACUCCGUG